GAUGAACGCUGGCGGCGUGCCUAAUACAUGCAAGUCGAGCGAACGGACGAGAAGCUUGCUUCUCUGAUGUUAGCGGCGGACGGGUGAGUAACACGUGGAUAACCUACCUAUAAGACUGGGAUAACUUCGGGAAACCGGAGCUAAUACCGGAUGAUAUUUUGAACCGCAUGGUUCAAAAGUGAAAGACGGUCUUGCUGUCACUUAUAGAUGGAUCCGCGCUGCAUUAGCUAGUUGGUAAGGUAAUGGCUUACCAAGGCAACGAUGCAUAGCCGACCUGAGAGGGUGAUCGGCCACACUGGAACUGAGACACGGUCCAGACUCCUACGGGAGGCAGCAGUAGGGAAUCUUCCGCAAUGGGCGAAAGCCUGACGGAGCAACGCCGCGUGAGUGAUGAAGGUCUUCGGAUCGUAAAACUCUGUUAUUAGGGAAGAACAUAUGUGUAAGUAACCGUGCACAUCUUGACGGUACCUAAUCAGAAAGCCACGGCUAACUACGUG
rnacentral:rRNA from 1 species